GUUCUGGGGUCUCCUCCAGGAGGAUGAGGAGGGGGCGGGGCCGAGGGCGGGGCCGGACCCCCGGGUCAGCAAGAAGGAGAAGAAGAAGAUGAAGAAGCAGCUGGAGUACGAGCGGCAGGUGGCCACCAUUCGAGCGGCCGCGGUUGCCGCCGACGGCGACUUCUCGGUGUCCCAGGCCGAGCUCUCGUCCCGCCAGGCCAUGCUGGAGAACGCCUCCGACAUCAAGCUGGAGAAGUUCAGGGGCUCCAUGGAGGAG